rnacentral:rRNA from 1 species
UACAGAGGGCUCAAGCGUUGUUCGGAUUCAUUGGGCGUAAAGGGUGCGUAGGUGGCGCUGUAAGUCAGGUGUGAAAUUUCGGAGCUCAACUUCAAAACUGCAUUUGAUACUGCGGUGCUUGAGGACUGGAGAGGAGACUGGAAUUUACGGUGUAGCAGUGAAAUGCGUAGAGAUCGUAAGGAAGACCAGUGGCGAAGGCGGGUCUCUGGACAGUUCCUGACACUGAGGCACGAAGGCCAGGGGAGCAAACGGG